rnacentral:rRNA from 1 species
CCUACGGGUGGCAGCAGUGGGGGAUAUUGCACAAUGGGGGGAACCCUGAUGCAGCGACGCCGCGUGGGUGAAGAAGCGCCUCGGCGCGUACAGCCCUGUCAGCAGGGAAGAAAAUGACGGUACCUGAAGAAGAAGCACCGGCUAACUACGUGCCAGCAGCCGCGGUAAUACGUAGGGGGCAAGCGUUAUCCGGAUUUACUGGGUGUAAAGGGGGCGCAGGCGGAGAUGCAAGCCAGGAGUGAAAGCCCGGGGCUCAACCCCGGGACUGCUCUUGGAACUGCGGGGCUGGAGUGCAGGAGGGGCAGGCGGAAUGCCUGGUGUAGCGGUGAAAUGCGUAGAGAUCAGGAGGAACACCGGUGGCGAAGGCGGCCUGCUGGACUGCAACUGACAUUGAGGCCCGAAAGCGUGGGGAGCAAACAGGAUUAGAUACCCCGGUAGUC